rnacentral:antisense_RNA from 18 species
AGUCAUGAUUGCUAUUCUCGGUAAAUAGUGGUUGUGACGAGCGGUGCGGGUGUGUUGGCGCACAUCCGCACCGCGCU